rnacentral:rRNA from 1 species
AUUGAACGCUGGCGGCAGGCUUAACACAUGCAAGUCGAGCGGAGAUGAGGUGCUUGCACCUUAUCUUAGCGGCGGACGGGUGAGUAAUGCUUAGGAAUCUGCCUAUUAGAGGGGGACAACAUUCCGAAAGGAAUGCUAAUACCGCAUACGUCCUACGGGAGAAAGCAGGGGAUCUUCGGACCUCGCGCUAAUAGAUGAGCCUAAGUCGGAUUAGCUAGUUGGUGGGGUAAAGGCCUACCAAGGCGACGAUCUGUAGCGGGUCUGAGAGGAUGAUCCGCCACACUGGGACUGAGACACGGCCCAGACUCCUACGGGAGGCAGCAGUGGGGAAUAUUGGACAAUGGGGUGAACCCUGAUCCAGCCAUGCCGCGUGUGUGAAGAAGGCCUUAUGGUUGUAAAGCACUUUAAGCGAGGAGGAGGCUACUGAGACUAAUACUCUUGGAUAGUGGACGUUACUCGCAGAAUAAGCACCGGCUAACUCUGUGCCAGCCGCCGCGGUAACAC